UGGCGGACGGGUGAGUAAUGUCUGGGAAACUGCCCGAUGGAGGGGGAUAACUACUGGAAACGGUAGCUAAUACCGCAUAACGUCGCAAGACCAAAGCGGGGGACCUCCGGGCCUCGCGCCAUCAGAUGAACCCAUAUGGGAUUAGCUAGUAGGUAAGGUAACGGCUUACCUAGGCGACGAUCCCUAGCUGGUCUGAGAGGAUGAUCAGCCACACUGGGACUGAGACACGGCCAG
rnacentral:rRNA from 1 species